AGUGAACGCUGGCGGUAGGCCUAACACAUGCAAGUCGAACGGCAGCACAGUAAGAGCUUGCUCUUACGGGUGGCGAGUGGCGGACGGGUGAGGAAUACAUCGGAAUCUACUUUUUCGUGGGGGAUAACGUAGGGAAACUUACGCUAAUACCGCAUACGACCUACGGGUGAAAUCAUGGGAUCUUCGGACCUUGCGCGAUUGAAUGAGCCGAUGUCGGAUUAGCUAGUUGGCGGGGUAAAGGCCCACCAAGGCGACGAUCCGUAGCUGGUCUGAGAGGAUGAUCAGCCACACUGGAACUGAGACACGGUCCAGACUCCUACGGGAGGCAGCAGUGGGGAAUAUUGGACAAUGGGCGGAAGCCUGAUCCAGCCAUACCGCGUGGGUGAAGAAGGCCUUCGGGUUGUAAAGCCCUUUUGUUGGGAAAGAAAAGCAGCAGGUUAAUACCCCGCUGUUCUGACGGUACCCAAAGAAUAAGCACCGGCUAACUUCGUG
rnacentral:rRNA from 1 species